AUACGAGCCACAAUAGAUAUGCCGAACUUUUGUAAUUAUGUUUUUAAACAUUGGAAUGACAUAUAACAGAGAAAUUUUGUUACAGGAAUCGACAGGACAAAACAAAAUUGACAGUGACAAGCCUUUGUCUCCUGUUGAUUGCACUGGUAUUUUAUGCCAUCGGAUUUGCGUCGCCUUACUGGGCUUAUGGAAGAAUUAAAGAUUUCUUUGGUCGAGAAGAAAACGUCAACAUAGGGAUAUGGAUUUCCUGUGAAACUUUCAAUGGGAAAACUCAAAUCUUAUGUAUAUAUUUACCUGAUUAUCGGCCACUGACAGAACUUCAGAAAGGCUUGCUCCGAGGUUUACAAGCGGGGGCAACUUUGGCAUUGGUUUUAUUAAUAACUGCCAUCAUCACUCUCGGACUCAAAAUCUACCACAGGAAAAAAUGGUUAUUUGAAAGCUAGCAUAUAUCUCAAUGGCUUUACAGUCCUGCUCCUUCUUGCUGGAGUAUCCGCAUAUGCUGCACACUUGGAUCAAAUCCAGUUUUAUGUUCCAGGUGCCAGGUUGCAUUUUGCUUAUGCAUUCUGCGUCCUUGCAAUGGUUUUUUGUUUUGUUGCUGAAGUUUUGAUGAUAAAGGAAAUAACCACUGUUCGAGUUACGUCUACAUAAAACAUUUAUUAAUUACUUUGACCUUGUUUAG